UAUUGUAAGAAAUGUUAAUGAUUGUGACUUUCUCUUUCUUGUUAAUACUGUGAAGGAAAUAGUACAGUAAUUUCCCGCCUCGUUUUGAUGUUAAGGUCUGCAUAUUGCAGCUCUUUGUAGUACUUUCUUAAGCUCAGAUUGUAAAUAUUUUGCAACCUAAUUAUCUUUUUGUGCUUAAGGUACUGUAUAGAUGACAAAUUAAUGUUGAAAUCCCUAUUCUGAUGGUCUGCGCUACCAUCUUGUCACAUUUACUGGUUUGUAUCCUUAUUUAUUGGAGACUUGGGUUAACGUCAAGUGCUAGCCAAUGCAAUUUCUGUGUCAUUUAACUUACCUCAUGGAGCCUUUUCUUAAAAUUUCCUCUUUUUCUUCAUUUGGUGAUUUUGAGAGUCUGUAAAAAAUAUAUUUAUUGUGUUUCAAUAAAACACUAUAAAACUU
rnacentral:misc_RNA from 1 species